AUAUCUCUCUGUACGGGAAGGAUGAGAAGCUUCGACUAAGGUUCGAUUCGAACGCAGCGAGAAAGCGUUGCCGCAGGCAACGACCCGAAGGGCGAAGCGCGCAGCGCUGAGUAAUCCUUCCCCCACCACCA
rnacentral:sRNA from 1 species